CAAGCAAUAUUAUGCAUUGGAAGUACUUUGUCCAUACCUUUUAUUCUCGGGGACAAGUUAUGUACCAACUUAUUUCCAGCACAAGAAAAAGCCAAUGUCAUAGCCCAACUUUUAAGUAUCUCUAUGUUUAUGUGUGGACUUGCUACACUUUUACAAACAACGUUUGGGGUAAGACUAGGAAUAAUACAAGGAGGGUCGCAUGUUUUCAUUGCUCCAAUCGUUGCCAUGAUGUCUCUAGAAAAAUGGAAAUGUCCAACAAGUCUUGAAAUUCCAGCAGCAAAUGAAACAAAUAUUACGACUUUUAUGAGCCAGGAUCAGAAAGAUGAGUUGUGGCAGAGCAGACUCCGA